rnacentral:tRNA from 3 species
UGGAAGGUGCGGCUGUGUGGACGGCAACUGGUUUGGAAAACCAGAGGAUAGUGUAACGCUAUUGAGGUUCGACUCCUCCUCCUUCCGC